rnacentral:lncRNA from 1 species
UGAUUGUGUUUUGCUCUUCUUCAUUCUGAAUUAUAUUAAAGGAUCAGAUGAUCAGAAUUUGAAUCUCAAACCCAGACCAAAAAAAAGGGAAGAAAUUAGAACAACCUAUUUUUAAGCGUUAUUAAUUUUCCCUCAUUCUUCAAUAUUUUUUCCCCCUAUUAAUGAAAUUGUAUUUAUCCUUUACAGGCUCCGGUAGUGAUAGUUCUCAAAUCUCCUCAAGUAGUGUAAAUAGGCCACAACUGGCAAGUCGUCCUCGACUAAAGCGGGUGAACAUCAGAGACUUCCUCUUCCUCCUAGAGCAAGAAAAGGAAACGUGUCAUAGUCAAAUGCUCUUCCAAGCGUAUCUCAAGUGAUGUUGUGUACACAAGUGCUGCGCACCUUUCCCAUUCACUGAGGUACAAAACCAAUGGGGUUUUUGUUUUCUCAACUUUCUUUGUUAUGUCUUCAUAGCACACGUAUGCUACCAUGUGAAGAAACUUCCCAGUCGAACAGUUACGCUAGCCCUAAAGCAGCCAUGCUCAGUGCACAAGAGCGUAAGUUUAUUUGAAGUAACAUUGUUAUGACCUUUUGUCGCGACUGAUUAAUCAUGCCAUGCUUUGAUCUGUUUUCAAUUGCACACCGAUGAAUUUGUUUUCGAAACAGGUUUCACCUCUGUGACCUCUUGUAACGGAAAUAAAUUUCAAGAACGCAGAAGAAAAUUUUAUAUGAAGAGAGCUAGUUAUUUCUACUGACCCGCACUGAGUCUUUUUCCUUGUCGUUGAGUGCGGUAAUAUUAUCAGUAGCAUAUUUUGAAGCCACUUUUACAAAUAACACUAUACAUGAUUUGAUUUCAUGACAUUGCUCAAAAAAUGGUCACCUGAUUCCAAUACAUCCCGUCCCAGAUUUAUUAUGACGUUUUUUGUCUCAUUUGUUGGUCGCUAAAAAUUGGAUUUGUGUGAGGCUCAUUCAAAAAUUCAUUGUUUUAUUUAGGAAAGCCUUUUUACAAAUUAGUCAAAAUUACGAAACGAAAAUUUUCGAGUCUUAGGAUUAAAUUUAAACCAUAGUAUUGAAACUGAGGUAGUGGAAGCAAGUUCCUGAAAUCAUAACUAAUUUCUAAAACCAAAUUUCAAUAACUAACUUUAAGCUCCUGCGUAUGUAGAAUCACAUACAUAAUUUUGUACAUGUUUUACUGUUUGUCCCUUAACUUCUUUAAAAAAAAACUAAAGAAAUAAAUAAAAAGAUAAAAAUAAAUAAAUAAAUAAAUAAAUAAUAAAUAGACAAAAAAAACCCAUCACAAAUCAACAGUUUGUCUCAUUGGAAAAUUAUAGUUUAUCAAUUUUUGCCUCAAAUUAGGCUUUUGCCUCAAGUGUAGUCGUUUGCCUGAUUAUAAUGGAGUGAAGGAAUCAUUUCGGAAAAUGGGAUUAUUACUCUAAUAAUGAAUAAGCCAAAUUAAAUCUAAUUCCUAGUGCUAGUGCGUGUGUCUUGAAAGUGAUCUUUAGUACUCACGUUUACUACUGGCAUAAUGGUUCUUCAUUGUGAUUUUUGCUUAUUUGUCAAACAGUUCUGACUUAUUUUGAAGUAAUGCAGUCACAGAAAUCACAUAAGUUUUGAUUUUGCCAAAAAUGUCAGUACUUUCCCUUCAUGCUAAUAUUUAAAGUUAGGUCGGUGAGCUUAUGAUGGGCUGGAUGUUUGUAAAUACCCGUAACUGUUCUAUUUAGGGUGUUCUUUUUAUGUGCUUGUUUUUAAAUCUCUAGGGGUUUUCUUUUUUGCAUGAAUAUUGGCAGAGAUCUAUUUUAAGCUCUUGUCAAGCUGUUGUUGUAUUUGGUUGAUCUCCUCAGAGUGGCCACUGGUCAGUUAGGAAAGGUUCGAAAGAUUAUUCUUUGAAACAUGUAUUUAUGAAAUGUAAAUAAAUGAAAAAUGGAAAUUUUUAUCAUAAAUGAACCAACGAUGCCUAUUCAAAAAGACAAACAGUUUAAAAACGUGUCAAGGUCAAUAUUACCUAAAUCAUAUGCUGUAAUCAACCAGAAGCUGGAAUUGAAAGAGUAACAAUGAUUUUCUUUUUCUAAAUAUUCAAUAUUUUACUUUUAAAUGAUAUCUGAAACUGCAGAUGAAGUCUUUUCAGAACUUCAGAAAUUUCGGAAAUACCGUUAAAUGUCAGCGUUUGAUCAUUAUGCCAGCAAAAUAUGAUUAUCUUUAUUCAGAGCAUCAGCUGGUUUUUGUUAUGAAUUUAGCUAGGGCUGUAAGAGUCCUCAAAUUUCAAGUCUAGUCAAGCGGAGUUCCACAAUCUCGUCUCGACUUAAAAAAAGAUGUGAUGCUUGAGCAAGUCUUCAACUCACAACUCAAAUGCUGAAGACCACCCACUUUGAGUUGUUUUGAGCUGAAAACGCCACAAUGAAUCAAGGCUGUGCUAAUGAAUCAGUGAGGAGUGAACAAAUCUAUCAUUCUAACAGAAAUAAUGAAUACUUACAUACUGUCGUGAAUUCAGGAUCUGUUUCUUUUGUUCAGAGCAAGCAACAUCAAAGACAAUAAGUACACAACCACAAUGCAAAAACUCGAACUCGAUUCAAACCGAAAAAGAAAACUUGCACAGCCUUAAAUCUAGCCCCAUUGCAGCUUCCAUUAAGUUAAUAAACAAAACCUAUUUGUUGGUUAUGUAUUCCAAGUUUUAACUACAUACGUACACUCGUCAGAAGAUGUAGGUCACAAAAAGCUGCAAGUUCUAUGAUGGACCCAGAAUUUCUCUCUUUGGUGCUCUGAGAAGAAACACAAGUCUUGUGGAGGAGGUGUAACCAGGAGUGAUAAAUUCCCUUUGAGCAAGAACUGCUGCACCAUCUUUGAAGAUCUUGGGGAAUGAAGUGAAUGUUCGGAUAAUGAGAUGUUAUUUGAAAUGAAACACCAUUUCAGAUCCAGAGAUAACUAGCUUGAUGUUAGUAGUUUGAAUCGCCAUUCCUAACUCAACAUGCGGAACAGGUAUCUUUGUUUAGACAAGGGUGCUGAAACUCUUCAACGUUUAAAGAUAUAGGUCGAAUAUCUUGGUUGUAUGUAAU